AAACUUCACACUGCAGGAAACUGUGAUGAGGGAACUCCAAGUGCAUCCACUAUGUGGAUGCUUUUUUUGACUAUUAAUCGGUCAACGAAUAAGGGCUGGGAAAGACCGGUG
rnacentral:rRNA from 1 species